rnacentral:antisense_RNA from 1 species
CUUAAUCGACCCCAACCACACCGGCUGAUCAGCGGGGCGGUCUUGCCCGUACGUGGCCACCACGGCUUGGGCCUC